UUUUUUUCUUAAUAGAGAUUGUAUUUAAUAUGGAUUCAUUAUAUAUCCUGAUCCUGAAUGAAAAGUUAUUAAUAAAAGCUUCCCAGCAGAAGGCAAGUUGUCUAAACAAGUGGCAAUAUAUAUAAUCAUUAAUGGCAUUUUAAGUACUGCAUAGUCUAUUUGGAAAAUGUUAUUCUUUUGCUGGAGAGUCAGUUUAUGGAUUAACAAACCUGACAAGGAAUGGAGUUGCUGACUUGUGGUAUGAAGCUUGUACUUUUAAAUUUUAACUAGUGAACUUGUAUGGCAUGCUUGAUUGAGCAGUGACAACACUACAUGCAGUACAGGUAUAUUAUACUAACUUGUAAAUAUUCUACAUUGAAGAGAAUUAUGUUAACCUUUUAUGUGGCAAUGGGCUCUACCUUAUUAUUUUUUCUGUCUAAUGCCAGACAAUUUUACUCAUGAAGGAGAGAGUGUUGCCACUCAAUGGGUUAAAGCCAACUUUCUGUAGAUGGAAAUUUUGAACAAUAACUAUGUAAUAAGUACUGUGCCGGGAAUGGAACCUGUUGCCCUGUGAUUCUGAACAGUUCCUUAACAGCCGAGAGUCCAUCAAGCCCUGAGAGUCCAAGCGCCAAGAAUCCAUCAAGCUAACCAAGAGUUCAUUUAUACAAUACUAGUGUCAUCCCGGUUUAUUUAAUAUACUACCAGUGACACCACUAUCAUGGUAUAAUUAUACAGAAAGUUACAUCUUGGCAAAAGGACUCUUUAGGUCAGAGGGCUGCAGUAGAAUUGCAGGGCUGCAGGUUCAAUUCAUGCUGGCAGGCUUGUAAUUGUAUUAAAACUGUCUGUAUACCAGUACCAGUGUGGGUAGUACCAAUGUGAAAUUGCUGUGCUGAGUGGUUAUAUUACUACCUGAAAAAAAAAGCAAACAGAAACUGAAUGUUUUGAGCAAAGACCCUUCGCUCGAAAUGUUGAGUUUCUGCUUGUUUUUUUUUUUAGGUAGUAAUAUAACCACUCAACACAGCAAUUGUAAUUGUAUUCCUUUGCAAUUGCUCUCACAUAGUUCUAAGGUACCUGUAGCUCUAGUUUAUUUAAUUGUCUUAUUAUAUUGUAAUGAUAUAUUUUUUAUUAAAUUCCAUGUAUAUAAUAUAUACAUGUUCAGUGAUGUAAGACUCACAAAUUUUCUUCAUUUUAAUGCAGUGUAUAGGUUGUGACAUUAAAUUGGUCGAAAUGA